ACGGAGGGUGCAAGCGUUGUUCGGAUUUACUGGGCGUAAAGCGCGCGCAGGUGGGCGUGCAAGUCGGAAGUGAAAUCCUGGGGCUCAACCCUGGGGCUGCUUCCGAAACUGCAGGUCUAGGGACUGGUAGAGGCUGGUAGAAUUCCCGGUGUAGCGGUGGAAUGCGUAGAGAUCGGGAGGAAUACCAGUGGCGAAGGCGGCCUUCUGGACUGACACUGACGCUGAGGCGCGAAAGCCAGGGGAGCAAACGGGA
rnacentral:rRNA from 1 species